UGCAGUCGAGCGGANCGAUGGGAGCUUGCUCCUUUAGGUUAGCGGCGGACGGGUGAGUAACACGUGGGCAGCCUGCCCUGCAGACUGGGAUAACUUCGGGAAACCGGAGCUAAUACCGGAUAACACCGAAAACCGCAUGGUUUUCGGUUGAAAGGCGGCUUUUAGCCGUCACUGCAGGAUGGGCCCGCGGCGCAUUAGCUAGUUGGUGAGGUAACGGCUCACCAAGGCGACGAUGCGUAGCCGACCUGAGAGGGUGACCGGCCACACUGGGACUGAGACACGGCCCAGACUCCUACGGGAGGCAGCAGUAGGGAAUCUUCCGCAAUGGACGAAAGUCUGACGGAGCAACGCCGCGUGAGCGAAGAAGGUCUUCGGAUCGUAAAGCUCUGUUGUCAGGGAAGAACAAGUGCCGUUCGAACAGGGCGGUACCUUGACGGUACCUGACGAGGAAGCCACGGCUAACUACGUGCCAGCAGCCGCGGUAAUACGUAGGUGGCAAGCGUUGUCCGGAAUUAUUGGGCGUAAAGCGCGCGCAGGCGGUUCCUUAAGUCUGAUGUGAAAUCUCGCGGCUCAACCGCGAGCGGCCAUUGGAAACUGGGGAACUUGAGUGCAGGAGAGGGGAGCGGAAUUCCACGUGUAGCGGUGAAAUGCGUAGAGAUGUGGAGGAACACCAGUGGCGAAGGCGGCUCUCUGGCCUGUAACUGACGCUGANGCGCGAAAGCGUGGGGAGCGAACAGGAUUAGAUACCCUGGUAGUCCACGCCGUAAACGAUGAGUGCUAAGUGUUAGAGGGUAUCCACCCUUUAGUGCUGCAGCAANCGCAUUAAGCACUCCGCCUGGGGAGUACGGNCGCAA
rnacentral:rRNA from 1 species